rnacentral:rRNA from 1 species
UUCGGACUGGAGUCUGCAACCCGACUCCACGAAGUUGGAUUCGCUAGUAAUCGCGCAUCAGCCAUGGCGCGGUGAAUACGUUCCCGGGCCUUGUACACACCGCCCGUCAAGCCAUGGGAGCCGGGGGCGCCUGAAGUCCGGGACCGCGAGGACCGGCCUAGGGCGAAACUGGUGACUGGGGCUAAGUCGUAACAAGGUAAC